UACGUAGGGUGCGAGCGUUAAUCGGAAUUACUGGGCGUAAAGCGUGCGCAGGCGGUGAUGUAAGACCGAUGUGAAAUCCCCGGGCUUAACCUGGGAACUGCAUUGGUGACUGCAUUGCUGGAGUAUGGCAGAGGGGGGUGGAAUUCCACGUGUAGCAGUGAAAUGCGUAGAGAUGUGGAGGAACACCGAUGGCGAAGGCAGCCUCCUGGGCCAAUACUGACGCUCAUGCACGAAAGCGUGGGGAGCAAACAGG
rnacentral:rRNA from 1 species